AAAGAGCCCUGCUGCAAAGGGCUAUGCUUGGGAUUUGCUCUGGAAUGCCACCAGUACCACACAGCUGACCAUUUGCAAAGGGCAUAUUUUGGCUGAAAGGCUGAAACAUGGCUGAAACUGAAGCAUGGAGCAUAACCAAUUGUCCUCCUUUUUCCUGCUCUAAAAGAUAAGUGUGAUGUGAAACACAUGCCUCUCUUAAAUACUCUCGCAUGUGCCUGGCAUUUUAGGCCAAUAAACCCAACACUGGAACAAGGUUGAGGCAAGCAUUAUGGAUUAAGAAUUUGCCAGAUUCUAGGCAGAGGUUUCUUUGUUCUGCCAGAGGGGUUUAUUCAUACAUAUCACUUCUCUUCUUGUGUGUCCACUUUUCUGUGUUCAGCCGCUAGAUACUAACAGAAUGCAGCCAUUCUUAUCCUGCCUUUGUGCCUUCCCCAUGCACUUCAUCCUUAGCAACACUAACAUUUAAAAGAUGUAGAUAUAGAUAUUGAGUCUCCUCUGUAACACUUGAGGAUGCCAUCAUUUCUGUGCUUCUAGGGCUCUCAGAGACCCAGAACUUUCAGUUUCUUUGUCUUUUACAUGCACAUUGUCUUCAAUGGGAACCUGAGCUUUUAAACUCUUGAGAAGCAUUUCCUAUCAGUGGAGUUGUCAAAGUUGCUCUUGUCUGCAUUGCUUUAGACCAGAGUUCAUCUUGGGCCCCAUGCCCAUCACUGGUGUGACCCCACGUGUUAUCCCAUGAUGGGCUGAGGGACAAAGCAGUCUGGGUGCAACCCAACUCACCCAAUGAAGGAGUUUGAUUUCUGUCUCCUGGAAGAGAGAAUGGGGUUUUUCAGGCUGCAGAAGCUGUGUUCAAGGAGAAGAGAUCUCCAGGACAAUGGAGCAAGGAAUGUUCAGCUGAAGACUGGCUCACCUUUGCCUUACAGUGAUUCCACUCCUGGGGAUUUUCUGUUACUAAAUAAUGCUCUUAAUGAGAUUUAAGUCCCUAAUAAAAAUAAUUAAAUUAA